rnacentral:tRNA from 1 species
UGAAAUCUAUUAUAAUUAGUAUUUUUAUUUUAAGCAUAAAAAGUUUAAUUUCAU